AUGGCCGCCGCCGCCGCCGCCUCCAACCCUUUCCAGUUCCCUCGCCGCCGACCGCCGGACGACACGCUCUUCUACGCCGUCUACCCUCUCCCCCUCCCCACCGGCCUCCCAGCCCCGGCCCUCCUCGCCUCGCUCCNNNNNNNNNNNNNNNNNNNNNNNNNNNNNNNNNNNNNNNNNNNNNNNNNNNNNNNNNNNCACCGCGACCCCUUCACCCUCUCCCUCCCCGCCGACCCGGCCGGCCCCUGCGCGGCCUGCGCCUCGCCGCCCGCCGUCCCCCACCUCCACGGCGCGCUCCGCUUCGGGGACUCCCUCCCCGACGAGUGGCUCGCCGUCUCCCUCCUCUUCGCCCUCACGCGCGCCUUCCCGGGGCUCGCCGCGCGCGCCUGGGACUCGGACGGCGACUUCCUCCUCAUCGAGGCCGCCUUCGCGCUCCCGCGCUGGCUCGACCCCGACACCGCCCCCAACCGCGUCUUCAUCUUCCGCGGCGAGCUCCACAUCCUGCCGCCCUCCCUCUUCCCCGACACGCCCUCCCUCCAGGCCGCCCUCGCCGCCGUCCACGACGACUCCGUCGACACCCGGGCCUCCGACGCCGUCCAGGCCGCCAUACAACGCCGCAUCGCCGGGAUGCCGGAGAGGGCCGCCGAGAACCUCCACACGGCGCGCGUCACCGUGCCGGCGCCCGUGGCCAAGGUGCUCAAGGAGGAGCCCUGCUUGAUCGCGCGCGCGGUCGAGGCGUUCUACGACCGGGACAUUGACACCAUGAAGCACGCCGCGAGGAUGGACAAGUUCCUCAAGGGCCCCGGCGGGGAAGGGGUUGACAUGGUGAGGACGUCCGUGCGGAUGACGAAGGCGAUGUAUGGCCAGCUCAUGCAGCAGAGCUUCCAGGCGCCCAGGGGUUACCCCAUGCCGAGGAGCGAGGAGGGUCCGGACAAGUGGAUGGAGGCAGAGCUGGGGAUGAAGAUUGCGUGUGGGUUCGAGAUGAUGUACCAGGAGAGGCGGCACGAGGCGGAGGAAGGAAUGGGGAGCACAUGGGAGGUUUACAAGAAGAGCUUGGAGGCGACUGGCUGUUUUCAGGGGUUGCUUCCUGGUUCCAAGGAGUAUAAGAGGAUCAUGGAGGAUGCAAUGCAAUAUUACAAGAGCUCGAGUUCGUUCUCGCGAACAAGGGAGAUGCUAAGUGCACCGGUCCGUCGAAUUGAUGAAAUCCUUGCGAUGCCGUACUCGGCAGAAGAUUUUCAAGGCAUUAAUCUUCCCCCAAGUGAUGAUGAUUCUUGGCUGCGUAAUGGGGAGGAUGAAUUGAAUGCUGAACUUCAUGAAAGGCAGAAGGAAAUGGAAGAGUAUGCGGCUGUGAAGAAGAAUAGAAAAAGUCAAAAGCAAAAUGUCUCCAGCAGUUCAAGCUCCCAGCCAAACGAGUUUAAUCUUGGAGAAAUCACAGACUCCAUGCAAGAAUUUGUUCGCAAAAUGUCAAGCUUCGAGGGAGCUGAAGUUCCCACAAACAGGGAAGACACGGAGACAGUAGACCUUGAUGUCAACCUGUUCUUUAAGGCCAUGGAGUCGGUGUUAGGAAGAGCUUCACAAGAGGAAGCUGGCCAUGAUACUGAAGCUGGUAGAAAAUCCUCCUCGUCUGACAUGGACUUUGACGAUUCUGAUUUCGAUAAUGAUUCUACUGAAGAAGCUGGUGAAAAGGAUAUGGAUGAUUCUUUCAUGGAAUCAUAUUCAGAUGCUUUGAAUGACGAGCUAAGUAAGACUACCAUUGAGGAAACCUUUUCUCGAGCACAACGCCCUAGCACCAACAGUGAGGGUCCCUCGAAUGAUGCCGAUAGUGAUGAUGGGGAGAUGGCCCCAGUUGAUGUGAACUUGAACCUUGUGGAGAGCUUCCUUAACUCGUACUCGUCUCAGCAGGGCCUUCCUGGCCCGGCCUCGAACCUGCUUGGACUUAUGGGUGUGAAGGUACCACCUCCGGACGGUAGUAAAAAGCCAUGA
rnacentral:rRNA from 1 species